UCGGGAAUUUUGGGCAAUGGGCGAAAGCCUGACCCAGCAACGCCGCGUGAGGGAUGAAGUAUUUCGGUAUGUAAACCUCGAAAGAAUGGGAAGAAUAAAUGACGGUACCAUUUAUAAGCUCCGGCUAACUACGUGCCAGCAGCCGCGGUAAUACGUAGGGAGCAAGCGUUGUUCGGAUUUACUGGGCGUAAAGGGCGCGUAGGCGGCGCGGUAAGUCACUUGUGAAAUCUCUGAGCUUAACUCAGAACGGCCAAGUGAUACUGCUGUGCUAGAGUGCGGAAGAGGCCACCGGAAUUCUCGGUGUAGCGGUGAAAUGCGUAGAUAUCAAGAGGAACACCUGA
rnacentral:rRNA from 1 species